rnacentral:lncRNA from 1 species
UGUCUUGAUCUACCAUGAUCCCUCGGUUCCUUGGUCAAGGCAACCGCUCCUUCGUUAUCACAGAAAAUCUCCAUGGGCUCCUUUAUGGCAGGUACAACUCCAAGAUCACCGAUGAAGUUCUUUAGCCAUAUUGCCUCCUUCGACGCUUCGCUCGCUGCAAUGUACUCUGAUUCGCACGUUGAAUCAGCUACGGUUUCCUGCUUGGAACUCUUCCAUGUCACUGCUCCUCCAUUUAGGGUAAAGACCCAGCCCGACUGCGAACGGUAGUUGUCCCUGUCGGUCUGAAAACUGGCGUCACUAUACCCUCGCACCUUCAAGUCAUCACUCCCUCCGAGGACUAAGAACCAUUCCUUCGUCCUCCGAAGGUACUUAAGGAUAUUCUUCACCGCAAUCCAAUGUGCUUUGCCAGGAUUCCCUUGAUAUCUGCUAACCAUGCUCAAAGCGAAGGCUACAUCAGGGCGAGUACAAGUCAUAGCGUACAUGAUUGAGCCAACUGCGGAAGCGUAUGGUACUCGGCUCAUUUCUGCUAUCUCAGCUUCGGUACUCGGACUUUGAGUCUUACUCAAUUUGGCAUUACUUUGUAUCGGUAGUUCUCCCUUCUUUGAGUUUUCCAUACUAAAACGUUUUAGUACCUUCUCUAAGUAAGUAUUCUGACUAAGUCCAAUUAGUCUCUUACUUCUUUCUCUUACUAUCCUUAUUCCCAAAAUGUAAGAAGCCUCUCCGAGGUCCUUCAUAGCGAAGCACUUCCCGAGCCAGGACUUAACCUCCUGCAGAGUCGGGAUGUCGUUUCCUAUGAGUAAUAUGUCAUCGACAUAUAGAACGAGGAAGCUUACUAUACUCCCACUGGCUUUGACAUAUACACAAGAUUCGUCUUCGCUUCGUACAAAUCCAAACUCUUUGACUUUCUCAUCGAAGCAAAGAUUCCAUCUGCGAGACGCUUGCUUAAGUCCAUAAAUGGACUUCUCAAGCUUACACACUCUAUUCGGAUGCUUCGGAUCCACAAACCCCUCUGGCUGAGCCAUGUAAACAUCCUCAGCCAACUUUCCGUUAAGGAAAGCGGUCUUGACAUCCAUUUGCCAAAUCUCAUAAUCAUGAAAUGCGGCAAUUGCUAGCAUCACUCUAAUAGAUUUAAUCUUCGCAACUGGUGAGAAGGUCUCAUCAUAGUCAACUCCGGGAGUUUGAGUAAAGCCCUUCGCAACCAAUCGCGCUUUAUAUGUGUGUACGUUUCCAUCCACGUCGGUCUUCUUCUUGAAGAUCCAUUUGCACCCAACGGUCUUACGUCCGGGCACAUAAUCAACCAAAUUCCAAACUUGGUUAUCAUACAUGGAUUGGAUCUCGCUAUCCAUUGCCUCUUUCCAUUUUGCAGACUCCGGGCCUGCCAUGGCUUCCUUAUAGCUAUUAGGUUCAUCAAGAUUUACUAGUGUACCAUCACUAAUAUACGUGUCCCCUUCGGUAGUAAUAUGAAAGCCAUAAAACUGGGGAUGAACUCUAACUCUAUCGGAACGUCUAAGAGGUAAGGAUUCGUCAAUCGGUUCAACCGGAGUUUCCUCCUCGGGUUGAGUGCCAGCGGUAGAGGUUCCUUCAUCUAUCGACUCUUGAAUCUCUUCAAGUUCGAUUUGCCUCCCACUGUCUCCUUGGCUUAUGAGUUCUCGCUCUCGGAAAACUCCUCUCCUCGCAACGAAGACAACAUUGUCCUUCGGUCUAUAGAAGAGAUAUCCAAAGGAUGUCUGCGGGUAGCCGAUGAAAAUACAUCGCUCACUUCGAGGUUCAAGCUUGUCGUGAGUAUCUCGUCUUACGAAAGCCUCGCAACCCCAAACCUUGAUAUGUGCCAACGAGGGAGCUUUCCCUGUCCACAUCUCGUGAGGUGUUUUGGCAACCUUCUUAGUAGGGACUCGGUUAAGGAUAUGGGCGGCAGUCUCUAAGGCAUACCCCCAAAAAGAGAUAGGUAGUGAAGCACGACUCAUCAUAGAGCGAACCAUAUCCAAUAAGGUUCGAUUACGCCUUUCUGCCACACCAUUCAACUGCGGUGUCCUAGGAGGCGUCAAUUGUGAAACUAUUCCACACUCCUUGAGAUAAUCGUGGAAUUCAAGACUUAGGUACUCUCCUCCUCGAUCGGAUCGAAGCAUCUUGAUUUUCCUGCCCAAUUGAUUCUCCACUUCAUUCUUGAACUCUUUGAACUUUUCAAAGGUGUCUGACUUUUGCUUGAUUAAGUAGAUAUACCCAUAUCUACUAUAGUCAUCGGUAAAAGUCACAUAGAAGCGGUUCCCAUCCUUCGUGGUUGAUCUAAACGGUCCACAUACAUCGGUAUGUAUUAAGUCCAAUAGACCCUCACCCCUUUCACACGUACUCGUGAAGGGUGACUUAGUCAUCUUUCCAAGCAAACAAGACUCGCAUGUGUCAUCUUCCCUAAGGUCGAAUGACUCCAACACUCCAUCCUUUUGGAGUUGGGCUAUGCGUUUCUUGUUGACAUGUCCAAGACGACAAUGCCACAAGGAUGCUUUAUCCAUACUAUUGGAAGAAUCUAUGUUCAAAACAUCAUUUCCUAAGUUAUCAACAAUCAUAACAGUUUCAUAAAUUCCAUUACAUGGUAUAGCUUCAAAAUAAAAGACACCAUUUAGAUAAGCCAAAAUAGAACCAUUCUCAUUAUUAAAAGAAAAUCUAAAACCUUGUCUAAACAAACCAUGAAAUGAAAUGAUGUUUCUAGCCAUUUCUGGCGAAUAGCAACAAUUGUUCAAAUCUAAACUUAAACCAUUCCUAAGCACUAAAGAAUACACUCCAAUCUUGGUCACAGGCGACGAUCUUCUGUUCCCCAUGAUUAGAUUUAUUCUUCCAGCCUCCACAUCCCUAUUUCUUCUUAGUCCCUGCACAUUAGAACAAAUGUGGUAACCACAACCGGUAUCAAGAACCCAAGAAAUAUCAUGAGAUGAAUCGUUAGAUUUAAUUGUGUAUAUACCUGCGAAAGACGGCUUGAUCUUUCCUUCCUUGAUGGCUUGCAGGUACUCUGGGCAGCUUCUCUUCCAAUGUCCUAUCUUGUGGCAGUGGUGGCACUCUGCCUCCUUUGGGUUAGGGCAGGGCUUAGCAGGAUCAACUUUGGUCCCACUAGAAGAGGCACCAUCUCGGGCUUUAACCUUGCGAUAGUUCUUAGACGAAGCCUUCCUCUUCUUUCCCUUUCCUUGUCCAAUAGCCAAGACAGGAGCAGCGGGUGGAUUGGGAGUUGGUGCAACAGACUUGUCCUUGAAGUUGCUCUCAGCGACCCUCAAGAGACCUUGGAGCUUGCUUAGGGUGACCUCUUCUUUGUUCAUGUGGUAGGUCAUCCUAAAUUGAUUGUAACUUGGAGGCAAAGAGUGAAGCACCAUGUCGAUCGCCAAGUCUUCCCCAAAGUCAACAUUCAACUUGCGAAGACGGUCGACAUACCUUUGCAUCUUUUGCAGGUGCACGGUAAGAGACUCUCCAUGACCCAUCUUAGCGGAAAUCAUGUUAGUGAAAAUCUCAUAACGCUCUUGUCUCGCGUUUUGGUGGUAUCUCUCCAAUAAGUCUUGGUGCAUCUCGUACGGGUACAUGUCCUCAUAGGACUUUUGGAAUUCGGAGUUCAUGGUGGCUAUCAUGAUGCAAUGUACCUUCGUUGCAUCACGCUCGUGAGUUUCAAAAGCGGUCAUUUCAGCCGGAGUAGCGAUUUCAGGGUUGAUUUUCUCGAGCUUCUCAUCGAGGACAUACUCCUUGUCCUCAUAGCGAGCAAUUGUGCGAAUGUAUCUUAUCCAUUCGCUAAAGUUCGUCCCAUCGAAAGUCACCUUUUGACAAAGGCUCAUCAAUGUGAAUGAACUAGCAGCAGCGUUGUUUGCGUUCGACAUCUACAAAUAGAAAGGACAAAGAUAGAUUAGAAUUUGAAUCCCUAAUUAUUACCCAAUAAGAAAAUUAGGGCUAGGAUCCAACAACAAUAUUUACAUAUUAGAAAAGGGAUACCGUAAUCUAACAUGCAAACAUUUUGAAGGUAAGUGAAUGACGAUUCACUAAUUCUCCACCAUAAAACAUAACUUUAAUUCUAAAUGUAUUGAGAAUUCCUAGGUUUAGAUGAGAUUCAUUGAAACUUUUCAAUGGCAUGUUUAAAUCUCGAUAUGCCCCUCUCGUUUGUGACUGGGAUACCGAGGAUCACAAAGUGGGUGUGAAUUACCAUGCAAAUUCACAUGGUGCCUUCAUUGUAACAAUCACCUAUUCGACGUGCCGGUAAACCACACACGCUCCAUCGAACUAUGAUAAACAAUGAAUCACCCUUUGCCACCUUUGCUUAGAACCAAUUAGUGUGCCGGUAAACCACACACGCUCCACUAACUUCUUAGCAAGGUGCAAAGUGUAAUUUCAUGGGAUUGCAUCAAUUCACUUUUCCAAAAGUAAAUAGGAUUGGGAAUUUUUGGAAAAACAUGUAGUUACUUUAUAGGUUCAUUAUACUUAUCAAUGAGGAAAGAGAGUUGCCCUAUCCUACCCGUUCGGCUAACGACCUCCACCGAUCAAGCAAGCGGUGGGUGAGAGUGUUCACCCAUUAAGCUCCAUUUUAUAGGCUGCAACCUUAUACUCACCUUAUAGACCGACUUCAUGAAUGAGGCUACUAACUGUAAGACUAGCAUUUUAAUUAUACACAUAUACAUAUUAAUCUUGUAAUAUUAUAUUAGUAUAGGGUUGAAUUUUAAACUUGUAAAAUUCUAGGGUUUGAAAUUUAAAUUGUCUAAAUUAAACUUUUAAUCACAAAACAUAAAUUUCAAAACAUGAGGGCAAGUUUUAAACUUUUUAAAACAUAAGGAAUCAAAUAACAAAUAAUCUAAAUUAACAUUUAAUCACAUAAUUAUCCAUAUUUGAUUUAUUUAAUGAUUUCUUGCAAAAUAAUUUACCAAUUUAAUUAAAAUAAUUAAUCAAUUAUCACAUAAGGAAAUAAAUAUUUUAUUAAUUGAUAAAUAUCUUCAAUUAGGUCAAGAAUAUACUCAUAUAUAUCAUAAAAUCGGAUUUAUAUUGAUCUAAUAUGAUUAAGGCAAGUAUCUCAAAGAUAAACANAGAAAUCCCGAAGUUAUCUCUUUCUGACGCUCGAACUCGCCGAGUUGAGCCUACUCGCCGAGUACCACCAUGGGACUCGCCGAGUUCAUCAGGCAGAGGACAAAACAAGCAAUCAAUGCAUCAAUUCAAUAGAAACCAAUCUAGGCUCUGAUACCACUAAUGGGUUUUGGCCAUAUGAACAUUCCUAUGUGCACAUACAAAAACCCUAAUGCUUGGAUCUAGGUUUCUCUAAUUGAACAUACAUUGAAUCCAAGACUUCUAAUGGCUAAUAAAGUAUAAUAACAAUAUGAAAUCAGAGUUAAAAGUUUACCUUGAAUCACUUUCUUGAUCUUCUUGUCCUUGGAGCUUUAGAGUCACAAUUAUCACUCCUCUAAUGGCUUACAAACACCAACUAGCAAGAGGAUGAUUUAAGAGAGAGGAGAGGGGAUCAAAAUCGGCCAGGGUUUCUUUCUAAAGCACAAGUGCCGAUUUCUCUUGACCCCUAGGGUCUAUUUAUACUAGUGAGGCUCCUAGGGUUUCACCCUUAAACCCUAAUUGGAUAACUUAGGCCCUAAGCGAUCCAAUACCCUAAUAGAUAAGCCUUUGGACGAUUUCAAGGCCUAUCCAAAGUCCUUAAAACCGGCCCCCUUUAUCGAUAAGGGUUUUAUAGCCCAAAGUAUAACUAUCAUACAUUUGACAGUUUAUGCCCCUUUUUUCAAUUAAUCUCUUUAAGUCACCAAAUUAAUUCCUACUUAAUUUAUGACUUAUAUUAAUCAAACAAUAAUAUUAUUAUUCCUUAUAUUAUUCUUAUAAUAUAUUAAUGAUAUUCCUUCUCUCAUUAUAAAUCAUCCUGUCAAGUUGCUAUGGUGAAGGCAACCCAAAAGCACCAUGCACAACCGGGUCAAAUAAUUGCCUAAUAUAGUUGCAGCCUUAUACACUAUUCCAACAGAUAGUGCCAAAAGUUUAGCCCAAACCCUGAUUGACCACAGUGAUGAUGUUGAGGAAACAACCGCCACUCCAGAAUCGACCAAGAGGAGUGGUGAGAAAAGAAAGUUUUGGAAGAAAAAGAAAAGUCAGCCUUCUCAAGGAUCCUCAAAGAAACAACAGACUGUAGCAGUCCAUGCUGCUACUACCCCUGUGGCUGCUGCUUCUGUUGUGGGACCCACAACUCAAACACCUACUAGCAGGUAUGCUAGUAACCUUCCCCAGUGUGAGAAGUGUAAAUACCACCAUAACCCCGGCCCCUGCCGUGAGCUAUCAUGCACCAACUGUGGUAAAAAGGGGCAUACGGUCCAAUUCUGCAAAGCACCAACCCAAUCUGCAAAUCAACCUUCUGGAGCAAGUGUUGGUCAACCCUGCUAUAAUUGUGGAGAAGUUGGACAUUUCAAGAGGAACUGCCCUAAGAAGGCGACAGCUGAUAAUACCGGGAGUGUCCUAGCCAUAGGACGGGAGGAAGCAGUCGAUGAUCCCACCGUUGUUUCGAGUAUGUUCCUUCUCGACAACUCUUAUGCUAGUAUCCUUUUCGAUUCGGGUGCUGAAAGAAGCUUUGUUAGUCAUAUGUUCAAACAUAAUCUUAAACCUAAUUCCCAACCAUUAACCGUAACGUUUACCGUCGAGAUGGCUAAUGGAGAGAAAGAAAACGCUCACGAUAUAUUCAUAGGAUGCACUCUUACCGUGAACGAUCAUUCAUUUACCAUCGAUCGUAUGUCAUUCUCCAUAAAGAGCUUUGAUGUCAUCAUUGGCAUGGAUUGGUGAAGUCCCAAUCAUGAUGAUAUUCUCUGUUUCGAAAAAACCAUCCGUCUCAACCUUCCCAUGGGUCAGACUCUCAAAAUCUAUGGCGAUAAACUCAACUCCAACCUUCGCAUCAUUUCCAGCAUCAAAGCUCAGAAACUCUUGCGAAAGGAAUGCCAAGCAUUCUUAGCCCAUGUAAUCAUAGAGAAACAGGAAAUUAAAUACCUCGCGAGCAUCCCCAAAGUCUGUAACUUUCCUUACGUCUUUCCCGAAGAGCUCCCGAGAAUUCCUCCUGAACGUCAAGUUGAGUUUCGCAUCGACCGAAUCCCUAGAGCUACCCCCGUAGCCAAGUUUCCAUAUCGCCUAGUGAUAAGUUUAAUACAAACAAUCCUAUGUGUGCAUGCAACCCUAGUUGGAUCUAUGUUUUCACUAUGAGACAUACAACUUUAUGAACACAAAAUAAACCCUGGCAUGCUUCUAUAAUUUUCGAAAAAUUACAUAGAAAUGUAGUAGACAUACCUUUGUUGUUAUAUAGCAAUAACAACUAGUUUCCUUGAUCUCUUGAACUCUCUUGAACUCUUGAAAGCAAGCACCACAAUUGGAGUGCCUCUAAUGGCUCACAAACACCUUGAAGCAAGAAGGCGGCUAAGAGAGAGAAGGGAAUGAUGCUAAUUUCGGCCCUAGGGUUCCCUUGGAAUCAAGUGGCCUCAAAUUGAAGCAUAGGGCAUGUAUUUAUACUAUAGGGUGCUAGGGUUUUAGUCUAAACCCUAAUGGACAGCUUAGCCACCAAGCAGCCCAAGGAACCUUAUGGAAUGAGGCCUUGGACGAAAAUAUGAUGAUCCUUCAUCAUAAUUUCGUUCCCCCUUAGUCCAUUAGGUUUCCUAGCCCAAAACUCAACUAUCACACAUUUGACAGUUUAUACCCCUUUAUUUAAUUAAUCUCUUUUAGUCACCAAAUUAAUUCCUAAUUAAUUUAUGACUAAUACUAAUUAAAUAAAUAUGAUUUCUCCUUUAAUAUAGUAUUCUUAUAAUAUAUUAAUAAAUCAUAAUAUCUACUCUCUCAUAUCAAAUUACCUUGUCAAGUUGCUUUGGUGAAGGCAACCCAAAAGGACCAUGCACACUCGGGUCAAGUAUAUACCAAAUAUGGUUACUGACUUAGACAUUAAUCCAACACCUAGCUCCAGCAGAAAUGCAGGAGUUAUCCAACCAACUUAUCGAGUUACUCAGCAAAGGGUUCAUCAGACCGAGUUCCUCACCCUGGGGAGCUCCGGUUUUGUUUGUGAAGAAGAAAGAUGGAUCCUUCUGAAUGUGCAUCGACUAUCGUGAACUAAAUAAGUUGACCGUCAAGAACCAAUAUCCUCUUCCUCAAAUCGAUGAACUCUUCGAUCAAAUUCAGGGAGCCAGCUACUUCUCAAAAAUAGACCUUCGGUCAGGGUACCAUCAACUUCGAGUUCAUGAGAAUGAUGUUUCGAAAACAGCUUUCACGACUCGGUAUGGACACUACGAGUUCGUAGUGAUGCCCUUCGGUCUAACCACUACACCGGUUGUGUUCACGGACCUGAUGAAUCGGGUGUGUCAUCCUUUCUUAGACAAGUUUGUUAUAGUGUUCAUUGACGACAUAGUUGUCUACUCCAGAAGCGAAGAAGAACACAAACAACACUUAAGGUUAGUGCUGGAAACCCUUAGAUCUGAAAAGUUGUACGCGAAAUUUUCCAAGUGUGAAUUCUGGAUUCGGAAAGUAACUUUCCUCGGCCACGUGGUAAGCGAAGAGGGUAUUCACGUGGAUCCAUCCAAGAUCAAAGCGAUAGAGAAUUCGUCGUCACUGAAAAAACCCACAGAAAUAUGUCAAUUCUUGGGUCUCGCCGGCUAUUAUCAUUGAUUCAUCCAUAAUUUUUCCAGAAUCGCCAAACCUCUAACCACUCUAACAUAGAAAGGUGUACCCUUUUCUUGGAGUGAAAAGAAAGAAUUCGCGUUCCAAACGUUACAGCGAGCUUUGUGCAGUGCACCAGUCCUGUCCCUGCCCGAAGAAACAGAGAACUCUGUUAUUUAUUGUGACGUGUCUAACCAGGGCUUAGGCUGUGUGCUUAUGCAAAGAGGAAAAGUAAUUGCUUAUGCCUCGAGACAGCUAAAGGCACAUGAGGUCAACUAUACCACGCACGAAUUAGAGUUAGGAGCCGUAGUCUUUGCACUGAAGAUUUGGAGACAUUAUCUCUACGGAAUCAAGUGUACGAUCUUCACUGACCAUAAGUGCCUGCAACAUAUCGUUGAUCAGAAAGACUUAAACAUGAGGCAAUGGCGAUGGGUAGAGCUACUUAGUGACUAUGAGUGUGAGAUCCACUACCAUCCCGGCAAGGCCAAUGUGGUAGCAGAUGCCCUUAGCCGAAAGGAAAGUUCGAGCCGUAAAGUGAGGACAGUGACGAUGACUAUCCAUUCUCAUUUAUCCAUACAAAUCCGAGACGCCCAGUUAGAAGCCCUCAAACCAGAGAACGUGUCAAGAGAAGCCUUGAGGGGAAUGGAUAAGAAACUUGAGAACAGAGGUGACGGAGUCUACUGUUUCAUGGACCAAAUUUGGACCCCAAAGUUCGGAGGAUUUAGGGAAUUUUCAUGGAGGAAGCACACAAAACCAGAUACUCUGUUCACCCAGGUUUGGACAAGAUGUACCUAGAUCUCAAGAAACAAUACUAGUGGCCGAACAUGAAAGCCGAGAUCACUACAUUCGUGGGCAAGUGCUUGACUUGCGCCAAGGUGAAAGUUGAGUACCAGAAACCCUUGGGUCUGCUCCAGCAGCCCGAGAUACCCGAGUGGAAAUGGGAGAUGAUUACCAUGGAUUUCAUCACCAAGUUACCCAAGUGUCCGAGUGGGUACGACAUCAUUUGGGUAAUUGUCGAUGUUUGACAGAAUCUGCUCACUUCAUCCCAAUCAAAGAGUCAUUCAAGAUGGAAAGACUCGUGCGGAUCUACAUCCAGGAAGUAGUUCGACUGCACGGUGUACCUGCGUCCAUUAUCUCUGAUCGAGAUAGCAGGUUUACCUCCAGAUUUUGGCAGUCUCUUCAGAAGGCUCUUGGAACUAAACUAGACAUGAGCACAACUUAUCAUCCUCAGACGGACGGACAGAGUGAGAGAGCUAUCCAAACCCUAUAAGACAUGCUUGGAGCAUGUGUCAUCGAUUUCGGCAAGUCGUGGGACACAUAUUUUCCUUUGAUAGAGUUCUCGUAUAACAACAGUUACCACACUAGUAUCAAGGCUACUCCGUUUGAGGCCCUCUACGGUCGCAAGUGCAGAUCCCCUCUAUGCUGGGCCGAAGUAGGAGACACACAGUUAGACAAGAGUCGAUUCCCCGACAGUGCUCUCAAUGGUCCUGAAAUCAUUCACGAAACCACCGAAAAGAUCAUCCAAAUCCGGGAACGAUUGAAAGCCUCACGAGAUAGACAGAAGAGUUACGUCGAUAUACGACGGAAACCUCUGGAGUUCUAGGUGGGAGACCAUGUCCUGUUGAAGGUCUCGCCAUGGAAAGGCAUGGUACGCUUUGCAAAGCAUGGGAAACUUAACCCAAGGUACAUUGGACCCUUUGAGAUCCUCGCCAGGAUUGGUCCUGUAGCCAAUAAACUCCAACUACCUCAAGAGCUUAGUAACAUCCAACCCGUCUUUCACGUCUCGAACCUUAAGAAUUGCCUAUUUGAUGAAACCCUCAUGAUUCCUUUGGACGAAAUCGAGAUCAAUGAAAACUUGAACUGCGUGGAGGAACCAGUCGAAAUCAUGGAUCGAGAGAUCAAACGUACGAAGCAAAGCCGCAUCCCGAUAGUGAAGGUUCGCUGGAAUGCCAAGCGGGGACCAUAAUUCACUUGGGAGCGCCAAGACUCGAUGAAAUAGAAGUAUCCGCAUCUAUUUCCAGAUCCAUGAUUUGUAUCUUAAUUUUGAAUUUCGGGAAGAAAUUCCCACUAAGGGGGGGGGGGAUAAUGUGACAACCCAAAAUUCUUUCCGUUAUUGUAACCCGUUCCGUUAACUCGAAAUUCGUUUCUGUUACGUUAUUAAAUUAAGUUAUAAAUUUGAGAUUUCUUUUACGACUUAAUGGGCGUCCUAGCGCGUUUAGAACUAAUAUUAUCACCCCAUACUAGUAACCAGAAAAUUUUUAGAAACGACCAUAUCGGGUUACGACAACUUAAUCGGGUGCGACCAAAAGCCACGUCUAACGUCGGUAUCGGGUAGAAUUCCGCAGUGUCCCAAACUUAGAAAAUAUUUAAAGCCCAAAAGACUUCAUUUUGAAGCUUUUGCACACUCUCACUACUCUCUCUCUCUCUAACCUCUCUCCUCAAUCCAAACUUAAGGUCCAAAAUCAUCAAAUUAAAGCUCCAUUUCAUCAAGGUAACCUUCCUAACUUGUCUUACAACCUUUCUAGCUUCCAAAUCCAUGUUCAAUCUAUGAUUUAGGACCAUAAACAUGUGUUUACGGCCCUAGAAUGCUCUUGGGCCGUGAAUACAUAUAAGUUGGGUUUUAGAGCCUAAAAACCCUUCCAAUCAACCUUUGGAGCUUAGAUAUGGCUAGAGGGCUUAAUGGAACGGAAUUAGAACACCUUAAACUUAACUUUUGUGGAGUAAAAUUGAGUUUACUGCCCAAGAACAUGCUUGGUCCGUAAACUCAUAUUCAUGGGUAGUAAACUCAAUUGCAAGUGUUUAAAUGCCACUUCAACACACCAAUAGCCUUGGAUUAAAGUCUAGAACCAAUCACAAUCGAUUUAGCAUGUAACAGCCCGGAUUUCCAGGUAUCUUCUAAUCAUAUCAUUUUUGGUGUUUUGAGUGGGGACUCGGGGAGUUGGAGCUCAAACUCGCCGAGUAGGAUCGCGGUUUUGGACGCGGGUUCGCGCCUGGACUCGGCGAGUCCAGGGAAUGGACUCGGCGAGUCCGUGCUGUUUAAUGAAACCCUAAUUCCCCGGUCCUAAUCCCUAUUUAAAGGACCUUAUGGCCCUUCAUUGCGGCUACCUUGACCUUGAGAGCACCCAAAGUAGCUAAGGGUUCCUGUGAGUGAGAUAAGAGGCCAUUAUUCACCAUAUUUGUGUGUAAUUGCAAGAAAGGAAGGGGAAGGUCAAGCUAGAAGAGUUGGGGAGCUUGGAUCUACUUCCAUUUCGUCAGGGGAAGCUUCUUGAGGUAUCAUUCAGAGCCUAUUUCCGUAUUUCGUUGAUAUGGUUAGAUCUAGGGUUUCUUCAUGCCUUGUUUGCUUUGUAAAUGAAGUGUGAGAGGUCCCAUGGGAAUAUGGUACCUAGAUCUGGACCUUAGCAGGUCCACAGAGUCCCUAAUGCCAUGCUUUAUGUCCUUCCUUUUGGGUUGGAGACUAGGGUUGCCAUCUUUGAGGCCAUUUCUUCAAAAAGAGCCUUGUUGGUGUUGCAUGGUAGCCAAGACUGUGACUUUACGUGAUGAAUGAGCUUAGGAGGGCCAGAUCUAUGAGUGGAUGAAACGGAUCUGACCUCAGAAGCGAGAUUGAGUUGGUGCAUGGCAUGGACUCACCGAGUUUGAAGAACAGACUCGGCGAGUAGGAUGAAGAUUGUCCUUAACCACUCAGUGAGUGGUCCUGCCAAGUUAUGAGUUGACUCAAUGAGUCAGGGAGAGUUGGAGAGGGUUGACAGGUGGACUGAGUAGAGUUGGAACUCGCCGAGUUGUUCUUGAGACUCAGCGAGUUGAGUCGUGGUGGCCCUGUGAUUCAUACCAGGUGGAACUCGUCGAGCCAGGGGCGUACUCGACGUGUCGAAAGAGAAUCCUAGGGAGUUGGUGAAAACGUGUAGACUCGCCGAGUCUCUUUAGUGCACUCGCCGAGUCCGGUCAAAGUUGACCGUUGACCGUUGACCAGAGUUGACCAGUGUUGACUUGAUAGGGGUAGUCAACCUUAGUGGUAAAAGUGUUAAUUAGAGAUAUAUGAUGUCAUAGGAGGAUUAUGGCCCGGGGGGAAACGGGCACGAGUGAUUUCCAGGAUUCGUGAGUUAUCGAGACAUACGAGGUGAGUCUUCUCACUAUACUUUAGCUUGAGUAGGUAAUCAGAGUUAUGUGACAGAGUAUUUGUAUGCUAUAUGUAUGUUAUGUGUUGUACUGCAUUAUUUCUAUGUGAUUUAUGCUGUGCAUGUUUAUAGAGUUGGAACCGGAAGGUUCACAGAGUUAGAACCAGAGGGUUCACAGAGUAGGGUCCACGGACCCACAGAGUUAUAGCCUCGAGUGGCUAAUAUGUGUUAUGCAUGGUAUUUUGGGAACUCACUAAGCUUUGUGCUUACAGUGUUAGUGUUGUUUGUUUCAGGUACUAGUGAUGACCGUGGGAAGGCACCGGCUUGAUCUGUACACACGCAUGGGAUUUUAUGAUAUGUGAUCUUGGGAUUUUUGUAUGAUAUGGAUUGGAGUCUUAAAACAUUGAGGUUUUUAUGAAAAUUAAAUGAAAAUGAUUCUAUUUUAUGCGAAAAAUUACUUUGAAGUUUACGGGGUUACAAGUUGGUAUCAGAGCCUUGGUUUGAGGGAUUCGGGUACACCUUCGGGGGUAUUUGAACUCAAACUGAGGAUUUGGAAAACAUUUUCAAAAGAGAAUCAAAUUUUGUAAAAGAAGUAAAAGAUUUUUUUAGAGAAACUCAGAGCAGAAACGUGUGUACGAUCAAUCAGCGCCCGAACGGUGGUUUCCCAAAAUACCCUUAUAUUAUAUGUUUGUGAGAUUGAUAUGGUGUAUUCUCUUGCUAGACUAGGCUAGGUAUUCCUAUUAGGGCUAGAGUGGCCUGAUUUGUGAUGCCUUAGCCUAGGAAGAGGUGAGCUGCUAUGAGAUGCUUGAGAGUGAAUAGGUAGUGGCGAAGAGCUUAUGAGAGAUCUGUUAGAGAAUGAUGGAGUACUUGGGACUUGGAGUCCGAAGAGGAAGAUUUGGGGUGUAUAUUGAAACGGUGCAGACAGUAGUAUUGGGCCCGUACUACUGAAACCACCGGAGCGGUGUACAAUUCCGAUAAGAACCUUCGGAAUGCCAAGGAUCAAGGAGAGAAGAGUUUUCGAGUGUGAAUAUGCUCGAAUAGAUUCUAAUAUAUCGUAUGUUGUAUUUCAGAGGUUGAUCAUGGUGAGGACACGUCAUAUGCCAGAGAGCAGUGGGGCUAGCGAUGAGGAGAUCCGUCAGAUCAUCCACGACGAGGUGGCUGCGGCCAUCAGGGCAGAGAUACCAGAGAUGUUCGGGUCUAUUAAGACCACGCUGAUUGAGACCUUUGACGAGCGUUAUGCCGCUCUUUCCGAGGCUGCUGUUGCAGCGGCCACCGCAGCUAUUGCUGCCGCGAGGCCGCAAGGUGGUGAUGUGUUGCUGUUCCGGGAGUUUAGCAACACAAAACCACCAGAGUUUGAUGGGACCCAGGAUCCGGUGGUAGCUAUGAGGUGGAUUUUUGAUAUAGAGGGGUAUUUCUUCACUUGCUCAUCUCCUGAGCAGUUGAAGGUCCGGUUCGCGCUGAACCAGCUUCGCUUGGGAGCGAAGGAAUGGUGGAAGUUUGUGACGGUGCAUUGUACGCCUGCUGAGAUUGCGGCAGUGACCUGGGAGAGGUUCACUACCAUGUUUCGAGAUGAGUACGUUCCCCAUGUGGAGAGGGAGAGUCAGGCCCAGGAGUUUCUGACCCUCAAGCAGGGUACUGAGUCUGUUACGGUGAUCACCAGGAUGUUCCAUGAGAGGGUGAUGUUCUGCCCUGAGCACGUGUCUACGGAGCAGGCACGUAUGAGCCGCUAUCUGAUUAUCUUGAGGCGAGACAUUCGGGAAUUCGUGGCGAACUCCUCGUAUCGGACAUUUUUCGAGCUUCAGGAAAAUGCCCGGAAGAGGGAGAUUGAGCUUGAGACUCAGGCCAGGGAGGAGGCGGAGUCUCAUGGGAGGGAUCGGUGACCGGCGCAGUCUCAGCCGGCAGCCAAGCAGGCCAAGCCCGCUGAUCCCAAACCAGGGAGCCAGCGGGGCCGCACUUGCGGGAGGUGUGGCAAGGGUCAUGACGGAGUCUGUAGAACGGGAUCUUGCUACAAGUGUGGCAAGGAGGGGCAGAUGGCCAAGGACUGCCCCAAAGGGUUUGCGGUGUGUUUCCACUGCAAUCAGACCGGACAUUGGAAGGCAGAGUGUCCGCAGUUGUGAGGAUUAUCUCAGGGAGCACCUCAGGGAUCUACCGCUGCCGCCAUUAGAGCUACCGAGAGUCGGCCAGUGAAGGCCGAAGCGUCGAGGGCACGAGGGAGAGCUUUUAACUGACCGCGGAGGAGGUCCGCACAGCGCCCGAUGGCGUGGCUGGGAUGUAUUCUUUCAUGUAUUUAUUUUGAUGAUGAGAUAUUAUGCUUAUGUUAUGUUGUGCGUAGGUACUUUUCUUGUGAAUUUUGUACCUGCCUUGGUGUUAUUCGACUCGGGUGUGAGUCGGUCUUUUGUAUCUUUGGCUUUUAGCUAGCAUAUCAGUGUUAGUCGUGAGGCGUUGGGUCGGCCUUUGAGGGUUUCCAUAGAUGAUGAGAGGGUGAUAUAUGCCACGGAGGUUCUCCGAGGUUGCGUAGUUGAGAUUUUCGGUGUUGAGUUCCCGAUUGAUUUGGUCCCUAUUGCGAUGGGAGAUGUCUGUGUCAUUAUGGGCAUGGACUGGUUGAGUCGGUUUGGUCCGGUUAUCGACUGCGAACGUCAGCUGGUGACCGUACGAGACCCUAGUUGGGGAGUUCUUUUGGUGUAUGGCGAGGGUACGCGUUCAGGAUUAGCGUUUUGUUCGGCCGCUAGAGCGAGGCAGUGUCUACAGCAGGGCUGUAAGGGUUUUGUGGCGUAUGUGAUGGAUACGCGGGGGGGUUCCGAGAGGCCGAGUUUAGUUGAGGAGGUUCCGGUGGUGUGUGAGUUCCCGGAUGUGUUUCCCGAGGAGUUGUCGGGUGUGCCUCCUGUGAGGCAAGUCGAAUUCAGUAUCGAUUUGGUUCUGGGGGCCGCGCCUAUCGCCAAGGUGCCUUAUCGUCUUGCACCUGCGGAGAUGCAAGAGUUAUCCUCGCAGCUUCAGGAGCUGUUGGGGAAGGGGUUUAUUCGGCCGAGCAGCUCGCCGUGGGGAGCGCCUAUCCUGUUUGUCAAGAAGAACGAUGGUUCACACCGGAUGUGCAUUGAUUACCGGGAGUUGAACAAGCUAACGGUCAAGAACCGUUACCCGUUUUUGAGGAUCGAAGAUUUAUUGGAUCAGUUGCAGGGAGCAUCUUGGAUCUCCAAGAUUGAUUUGAGGUCUGGAUACCAUCAGGUGAGGGUACGGGAUGAGGACGUCCAGAAGACAGUGUUCAGGACGCGUUAUGGGCAUUAUGAGUUUGUGGUGAUGCCUUUUGGGCUCACUAAUGCCCCGGCAGUGUUCAUGGAUCUCAUGAACCGAGUGUGUAGGCCGAUGCUGGAUCGGUUAGUGAUUGUGUUUAUCGACGACAUUCUGGUAUAUGCGAGAUCUAAAGAGCAGCAUGAGGAGCAUUUGAGGGAGGUUCUCGGACUUCUGAGAUCGGAGAAGCUUUAUGCCAAAUUCUCCAAGUGUGAUUUCUGGUUGACGGAGGUCCAAUUCUUAGGACAUCUCGUUAACCAGGAAGGGAUAUUGGUCGAUCCGGCCAAAGUUGAGGCGGUGAUGAGUUGGGAGGUGCCGAGGUCACCCUCCGAGAUCAGGAGUUUCCUAGGUUUGCCAGGGUAUUAUCGGAGGUUUAUCAAGGAUUUCUCCAAGAUUGAAGUGCCACUCACCAGAUUGACCCGGAAGGGUGUUGCUUUUUCAUGGGGCCCCGAGCAGCAGGCCUCCUUUGAGACACUUCGCCAAAGGUUGUGCGAAGCCCCGGUGUUAGCCCUCCCGGAUGGGAUGGAGGACUUUAUGGUAUACUGUGAUGCAUCGAUUAUGGGGUUGGGAGCAGUGCUGAUGCAGAGAGGGCAUGUGAUAGUAUAUGCAUCGAGGCAGCUAAAGCCUCAUGAGACGAGAUAUCCCACCCAUGACCUAGAGUUGGGGGCAGUGGUGUUCGCCGUCAAGAUUUGGCGUCACUACUUGUGUGGGGUUCCGUGUACGAUAUACACGGACCAUUAGACUUUGAAGUAUUUGAUGGCUCAGCCCAACCUAAAUAUGCGUCAGAGAAGGUAGUUGGACGUGGUCAAGGAUUAUGAUUGUGAGAUCCUGUACCACCCAAGCAAGGCUAAUGUGGUAGCCGACGCAUUGAGCCGUAGAGCGGAGAGCACCCCGCUGCGGGAGGUGUGUUUGAGAUUGACCGUGAUAGCUCCAGUGUUGGACGCCAUUCGUGGGGCACAAGCCGAGGCUGUGCAACCUGAGAUGCAGAAGAGGGAACAGGUUGUUGGUUUGGUUUUAGAGUUCGUUACCGAUGGUCGGGGGCUUAUGACAUUUCAGGGGCGUAUCUGGGUGCCGUUUGUGGGAGGAACGCGUACCAUUUUGAUGGAGGAGGCUCAUCGGUCGAAAUUUUCGAUCCAUCCGAGGGCCACUAAGAUGUUUUUGGACCUCAGAAAGGAGUAUUGGUGGCCCUGUAUGAAGAGGGAUGUCGUGUGGUUUGUUGAGAGGUGCUUGACCUGCUGUAGAGUUAAGGCCGAGCACCAGAGGCCGCAUGGUAAGUUGCAGCCAUUGGAGGUUCCCGAGUGGAAGUGGGAACAGAUCACUAUGGAUUUCAUCACCAAAUUGCCGAGGACUGCCAGAGGAGUUGAUGCAAUUUGGGUGAUUGUGGACAGGUUGACGAAGAGCGCUCAUUUCCUUGCUAUCAACAAGAGUUCUUUCGUAGAGAAAUUGGCAGAGGUAUAUGUGAGGGAAGUGGUAUCCCGGCAUGGGGUGCCGAUCUCGAUUGUUUCAGACCGUGAGGUGCGCUUCACUUCCAGAUUCUGGAAGAAGUUUCAUGAGGAGUUGGGUACUAGACUGCAUUUUAGUACCGCAUAUCAUCCCCAUACAGACGGUCAGAGUGCGGACGAUUCAAAUGCUCGAGGACAUGCUUCGGGCAUGUGUGUUGGAUUUCGUGGGUAGCUGGGAUGCAUAUUUGCUCUUGGCAGAGUUUUCCUACAACAACAGCCAUCAUUCGAGCAUUGGUAUGCCACCCUUUGAGCUGUUGUAUGGGAGGAGGUGUCNAGAUUGUGCUUCAGACGACAGAGCAGAUUCAGCAGGUCAGACAGAGGUUGUCGACCGCUCAGUGCCGACAAAAGACUUAUGCAGACAAACUCCGGUCCGAGCUUGAGUUUCAGGUCGGCAACCUUGUGCUCCUGAAGGUCUCUCCUUGGAAAGGAGUGAUUCGAUUCAGGAAGAGGGGCGAUUUGGGGCCCCAAUAUAUUGGUCCUUUCCGAGUGAUCGCGAGGGUAGNCUGUCGUUUGGAUUUGCCAUCAGAGUUGGGGCAGAUUCACGACCCUUUUCAUGUGUCGCAGCUGAGGAAGUGUAUAGCCGACGAGUCGGCAGUAGUUCCAUUAGAGGAUAUUCAGGUGGAUGCGAGCCUGAUUUAUGCCGAGAGACCAGUGGCCAUCAGAGAUCAGAAGAUCAGGGUUUUGAGGAACAAGGAGGUACCUCUGGUAUUAGUUCAGUGGCAGCAUCGGAAGGGAUCAGAGAUGACCUGGGAGCUGGAGCGUGUGAUGCGUGAGCUUCUUGAGGUAUCAUUGAGACCCUAUUUCCAUAUUUCGUUGAUAUGGUUAGAUCUAGGGUUUCUUCAUGCCUUGUUUGCUUUGUAAUUGAAGUGUGAGAGGUCCCAUGGGGAUAUGGUACCUAGAUCUGGACCUUAGCAGGUCCAGAGAGUCCCAAAUGCCAUGCUUUAUGUACUUCCUUUUGGGUUGGAGACUAGGGUUGCCAUCUUUGAGGCCAUUUCUUCAAAAAGAGCCUUGUUGGUGUUACAUGGUAGCCAAGACUGUGACUUUACGUGAUGAAUGAGCUUAGGAGGGCCAGAUCUAUGAGUGGAUGAAACGGAUCUGCCCUCAGAAGCGAGAUUGAGUUGGUGCAUGGCAUGUACUCGCCUAGUCUGAAGAACAGACUCGGCGAAUAGCAUGAAGAUUGUCCUUAACCACUCAGUGAAUGGUCCUAGCGAGUUAUGAGUUGACUCAGUGAGUCAGGGAGAGUUGGAGAGGGUUGACAGGUGGACUGAGUCGAGUUCGAACUCGCCGAGUUGUUCUUGAGACUCGGCGAGUUGAGUCGUGGUGGCCCCGCGAUUCAUGCCAGGUGGAACUCGUCGAGUCAGGGGCGUACUCGAAGUGUCGAAAGAGAAUCCUAGGGAGUUGGUGAAAACGUGUAGACUCGCCGAGUCUCUUUAGUGAACUCGCCGAGUCCGGUCAAAGUUGACCAUUGACCGUUGACCAGAGUUGACCAGUGUUGACUUUAUAGGGGUAGUCAACCUUAGUGGUAAAAGUGUUAAUUAGAGAUAUAUGAUGUCAUAGGAGGAUUAUGGCUCGGGGGGGAAACGGGCAUGAGUGAUUUCCAGGAUUCGCGAGUUAUCGAGACAUACGAGGUGAGUCUUCUCACUAUACUUUACCUUGAGUAGGUAAUCAGAGUUAUGUGACAGAGUAUUUGUAUGCUAUAUGUAUGUUAUGUGUUGUACUGCAUUAUUUCUAUGUGAUUUAUGUUGUGCAUGUUUAUAGAGUUGGAACCGGAAGGUUCACAGAGUUAGAACCAGAGGGUUCACAGAGUAGGGUCCACGGACCCACAGAGUUAUAGCCUCGAGUGGCUAAUAUGUGUUAUGUGUGGUAUUUUGGGGAACUCACUAAGCUUUGUGCUUACAGUGUUGGUGUUAUUUGUUUCAGGUACUAGUGAUGACCGUGGGAAGGCGUCGGCUUGAUCUGUACACACGCAUGGGAUUUUAUGAUAUGUGAUCUUGGGAUUUUUGUAUGAUAUGGAUUGGAGUGUUAAAACAUUGAUGUUUUUAUGAAAAUUAAAUGAAAAUGAUUCUAUUUUAUGCGAAAAAUUAUUUUGAAGUUUAUGGGGUUACAUAGCAGCCUUAAACAUGAUGAAAACCUUCCCUUUGGGAUUUCACGGCCGUAAACCCCCCCAGGAAUGGGUUCUUAGGCCGUAAACUCCUAAAUCAUGGUCAAAUGGUGCCUUAAACUCAUUCCAUGGCUUGUAGAAUUAACUAGAAACUCUUGUAAGGACCUCGGACCACCAAAACAUCAAAGGAUUGUGUGUGGGAGAGUUUACAGCCGUAAACUCUUAGUUUACUGUCGUAAACUCCAAUAAAUGGUCCAUUUGUUGAUUUAAUCCAUUCCUACGCCUUAGAUUAAAUCAUAACAACCUUCCCCAAGUGUUAUUUGACCAUUUAACAUCAUAAAACCCCUCAUCGAUGAGUUCACGGCCAUGAACUCAUGUGGAGUUGGUCUUAGGACCGAAAACUCCAUAGGGAGUUUACUCUUGAAGAGUAAACACAUUAUCUGAAGCCCUAUACGUUCGUAGAUGUCACCCGGGUCACUCCAAACACUUGAUUUGAAGUGUUUUCUCGUAUUGGAGUGUAUAAUCAUAUCUAAUUAGUGAUUUAAAGUCUAAUUAGAUACAUUUGGAUAUCAUUUCAUAUUACGUAGGAACCUCGCACGUUAUCAAGCCUCGAACCGAUACUUAGCAUGCAAACCGUCACAUUUUCUUGUCUGGUGAGUUCAUACCCCUACCCUUUUUCAAUGUUUUUCACUGUUUUCAGGGGGAGAAUACAAGCAAAGUACAAGGAACACUUGUACUCAAAAACUUGUUUUACAUGUGUUGUGUUUCAUAUUUCAUAUGCUUUUAACGUUGACAAUCAUAACAGAUAACCAUUUGAACUUGCAGAUCACAUUAUCAUAUUAUUUGUGAAAAAGAUUAUAAAAUCUUGUACUUUAUAUUUUUCACAAAUGGUUUCCACAUUAUAAUAGUUAAAAGCAUAACAUUUGAACUUUCAACAUGAAACUUAGUACAUUGUUUUGUCCUCGGUAACACUCCACAAAGAUACGCGAGUGGAGGAUUGUCAUUUGAUCUUUCUGUAUUAUUCCUAGUAAUUUUUUUAUUCCUAUAAAUUGGAGACACGUCCUAGGAGAACAGUCCAUAGAGGUACGCAAGUGGAGGACCGCCACUAUAACCAGAAUCUCUUAGAUAGGGAACGUGACUUGAGUGUAUAGAUCUAUACAGGGCUGACUACUCCGCACCUGGCUGCUAGCUACAGCCGAACCGAAAGGUUCAAGGGUGACGAAAGUCAUAAAGUAUGAUGGACUACUUAUUUCCAUAUCUAGUCUAUCGUAUGGUUAUAGCACUCUCAAUUUGGAUAAUAGAGAUUUACUAUUUAGUAAUAAUGGAUUCAGUAACUUGUUUACUUUGUAGUUAUUAGUUUUAUAUAUGUGUUAAAACUAAUACAUUUCAGUAUACAUCUUUUACAUUACAUUUCAGAUUGGUAAACUAACAUAUACUUUACAAGGAUAACCAGGUUCUCAGUAUACAUCUUUUACACUACAUUUUGGAUUGGUAAUCAACUUUUAGGAAAAUAUGGGAUUUUCCUGGGAUAACAAUUAUACAUAACCAGAAUCGUGUAACAAAACAGAUAACUAAACUUUACAUAUAUGAAAAUAUGGGAUUUUCUUGGGUUUGUAACUUUUUUAGAAAUCGAAAGGAAACUUGUACAUUUUCAGAAAACAAGACCGCUUAUGAACUCACCAUCUUUAUCCUGGUUUUCAAACUGCUUGUAUUCUCAGGUCUGCAUUAGAUAGGUACCCGAUGAUCCUUUUGGCGAAGACGGAGUAUGUAGAGGACACGUCAAAACUUUUGUUCAUAUAUACUUAUGUAUAACACUUGUACAACUUUACUUUUAAACAAAUGUAAAUUUUCAUAUGUAAUGUAGUGGUUGUUUACUUUGCUUACUAUGUACAUUGGAUUUGAUACUCAACGUGGAGUUCGCCCCGGAAACGUUUCCGCCUUGGGUUUCGGGGUGUGACAAAUCGCAUCGUCAUGCGAACAAAUUUAGAACCUAAUAAUACUCCUGUAACCAAAUCAACCUACAGUCUAACACCCACAGAGAUACAAGAACCGUCCGAACAACUUAACGACUACUUAACAGUGGAAUUAGAAGACCAAGCUUCUCACCCUGGAGAGCUCCAGUCUUGUUCUUCAAGAAGGUAGACAGAUUGUUUCGUAGGAGCAUCGACUAAUGAAAACCUUGACAAGAUUUCCAUUAGAAAUCAUUACCCUCUACCUCGCAUAGAUGAGGUGAUCGACCAACCGCAAGGAACGAUGUACCUUUCAGAAAUGGACCUGAGAUCCGAAUAUCACCAGUUGCGAGUAUUAGAGAAGGAUGUCCCGAGGACAAUCUUCCAAACUCGAUGCGGACGCUACGAGUCCGUAGUGAUACCCGUCGGAUAGGACCAAUACGCCGGUAGUAUUUUUGAACUUAAUGAAUAGGGUACGCCAUUCUUACUUAGAUCAGUUCGUCAUUGUCCUUGUAAAUGACUUACUUAUCUACUCUCGUAGUAAGAAGGAAAUCAUAAAGAGCAUCUACAACAAACCAUGGAAACAAUACGAUCAAAGAAGCUUUACGCGAAGUUCUCUAAAUACAAGUUUUGGAAAUGAAGAGUCAAAUUCCUAAGACACACUAUUAUUGAUGUGGGAAUUAUUGAGGACCCUUCCAAAAAUCAAAACCGUUGAGAAUUGGUCAGCACUGAAGUCGCCUACGAGAAUUCGCCAAAUUCUAGGUCUUGCUAACUACUGUCAUAAGUUCAUUCAGAACUCCUCGCGAAUUACAGAUACCUCUUACAGCUUUGACUCAGAAUGGAAGAAACCUUUGGAAUUCCAAGUUAGAGACCAAAUUCUUUUGGAAGUUUCACUCUGGGAAGUCUUGAUACGCUUCGGAAAGCAUGGAAAGCUAAAAUCCAACAUAGUUAGGACCUCCGAGAUUCUUGCCAGAAUCGGCCCUGCAACUCACAAAUCCAACCUACCUCGCAAACUCAGUAAUGUACAUUUUACCCUCCACGUCUCAAAAUUGAAAAGUACCUUUCCGUCAUGACUCUUGUAAUCCCACUCGACGAGAUCAAGAUCAACAAGAACCUCACCUUCGUGAAAGAACCGUAGUGACCAUAGACUGGGAGAUCAGACGAACGAAGCAACGCCGCAUCACAUUAGUGAAGGUUCGCUAGAAUGCCAUCCGAGGACCUAAAUUCACUUGGGAGCGCGAGAACCAAUUGAAUAGGAAGUAUCCCCACCCCUUUGCUAGAUUAUUCAUACCUACUCUUUUACCUAAACUCUAAUUUCGGGACGAAAUUCCCUCUAAUGGGGGGAUGAUGUGACAACCCGAAAUUUUCUAUCUUGUACAGUCUAACAUUUCAUUAAAAUUCAAACACAUUCCUGCUAUCAUUAAGCACAUCUUAGAGGCUGUUUGAGCAUUCCGAGCCUUGUACACUUAAUGAAUAAGUGUUAGAAAGUAACUGCUAAAGCCUCAACACAAAAUUAACACCCUAAACUCCAUAAGAUGGAGUUUACGGCCGUAAACUAAAGAGGGUCAUGAACUCCCACCCAUAUAAUUGAGUCUUGAUCAUUUCUAGCCAUUUCUCACAUUUCAAGCCCAAGAACUUCAAUUUUCUCUAAAGUAUCAUCCCGAUCUUCACCCCCGGUCUUCAGAACUCGUAAGUUUUUAGCCCAAACUAGUUGAUAUCUUACAUGAUCUAGUGAUAUUACAUGAUUUCAUCCGUGAAACCUUUCCAUUUUGUAGAUCUUCAAGUUCACCAAGAACACACACUAGUGUUCUUGGCCAAAACCGACCAUUCAAGCUCCUAUAUCGUAAGUAAUCUUGUUCUAACUCGAUGUACACUAGGUUUAACAUGUUUAGAGCUUAGAAAUCAUAAAUAAACACAAGAUCAUAGGAGUUUACGGCCAAGACAUGUUCUUGGGCCGUAAACCCCUAUCAGUGGGGCAUAUUGAACCCUAGUCCCUUACCAAGCCUUGGAACUUAGUCCAGAACCAUACCCCAUUAAACUAGGGACUUCCAGCAACGAAAUGGUACUUAAUACCAUGAUUUUACGGUCGUAAACUCAAGGGGAAGUGGUUCCCAGGCCGGAAACUCAUCAUAAGGCCAAUUCUUGGACCUUAAACUCACUUACCUCUUGUUUAGCCAUGAAAAAAUUAACCACUUAAAACAUCUUGCCUUUGAGCCCCAAAUGGAGACCCAUUAGAGAGUAUACGGCAAGGAAUAAACUUCUGUUGGCCGUAAACUCCAUUAAGUAUGGCCCAUUGAAGAUAAACUCACUUAAAAUGCCUUGCAAUCCUUUAUUGCAACCCAAUGGCUUCCUAGCACUUGACUAAAGUGUUUUCCAUGCAUUAGGAUGUUUAUACUUGCCUAAUUAGUGUUAUAAUCACUAAUUGUAUAUAUACAUAUGUCUUUAUUGAUGGGUUUUAUGCAUAAGAAACAUUCCUAUGUGCUCAUACGAACCCUAAUGCUUGGAUCUAGGUUUCACUAUUGAACAUGCUUUGAUUCCAAGACUUACAAACCCUAAUCUAGCAUAUCAACAACAAAAUUAACACAUAGAAUCAGAUCCAGAUGUUUACCUCUUCAAGAGUUGGCUUAGAUGUUCUCUUACUUCUUCUUUUGAGCCUAGAGUCACAAAUGCAACUCCUCUAAUGGUUCACAAACCCCACAAGCAAGAAGGCAAUAUGAGAGAGGAAGAGAGAGGCUAGAAAUAGGCCUAGGGUACUCUUAGAAUCAAGUGGUAGCUGAAUUCAAAGCCCUAGGGGUCAUAUUUAUACUUACAGGUUACUAGGGUUUCAAUCUAAACCCUGAUGGACAGCUUAGCCACCAAGUAGCCCAUGGAACCUUCUGGAAUAAGGCCCUUGGACGAAAAUAUGAUGGUUACCGAUUAUAAUUUCGUUCCCCCUUAAUCCCAUUAGGUUUCCUUAACCAAAAACUCAACUAUUAUACAUUUGACAGUUUAUACCCCUUUAUUCAAUUAAUCUCUUUUGACCACUAAAUUAACUCUUAAUUAAUUUAUGACCAAUACUAAUUAAAUAAAUAUGAUUUCUCCUUUAAUAUAUUACUCUUAUAAUAUAUUAAUAAAUCAUAAAACUCUCUCUUUCUCAUUAAAUUACCUUAUCAAGUUGCUUUGGAGAAGGCAACCCAAAAGGACCAUGCACAACCGGGUCAAGUACAUACCAAAUAUAGUUACGGGCUUAGACACUAUUCCAACAGUCUCCCACUUGGAUAAGUCUAGUAACUAUAUCUCACAUAUGACUUCAGAAUCNNNNNNNNNNNNNNNNNNNNNNNNNNNNNNNNNNNNNNNNNNNNNNNNNNNNNNNNNNNNNNNNNNNNNNNNNNNNNNNNNNNNNNNNNNNNNNNNNNNNNNNNNNNNNNNNNNNNNNNNNNNNNNNNNNNNNNNNNNNNNNNNNNNNNNNNNNNNNNNNNNNNNNNNNNNNNNNNNNNNNNNNNNNNNNNNNNNNNNNNNNNNNNNNNNNNNNNNNNNNNNNNNNNNNNNNNNNNNNNNNNNNNNNNNNNNNNNNNNNNNNNNNNNNNNNNNNNNNNNNNNNNNNNNNNNNNNNNNNNNNNNNNNNNNNNNNNNNNNNNNNNNNNNNNNNNNNNNNNNNNNNNNNNNNNNNNNNNNNNNNNNNNNNNNNNNNNNNNNNNNNNNNNNNNNNNNNNNNNNNNNNNNNNNNNNNNNNNNNNNNNNNNNNNNNNNNNNNNNNNNNNNNNNNNNNNNNNNNNNNNNNNNNNNNNNNNNNNNNNNNNNNNNNNNNNNNNNNNNNNNNNNNNNNNNNNNNNNNNNNNNNNNNNNNNNNNNNNNNNNNNNNNNNNNNNNNNNNNNNNNNNNNNNNNNNNNNNNNNNNNNNNNNNNNNNNNNNNNNNNNNNNNNNNNNNNNNNNNNNNNNNNNNNNNNNNNNNNNNNNNNNNNNNNNNNNNNNNNNNNNNNNNNNNNNNNNNNNNNNNNNNNNNNNNNNNNNNNNNNNNNNNNNNNNNNNNNNNNNNNNNNNNNNNNNNNNNNNNNNNNNNNNNNNNNNNNNNNNNNNNNNNNNNNNNNNNNNNNNNNNNNNNNNNNNNNNNNNNNNNNNNNNNNNNNNNNNNNNNNNNNNNNNNNNNNNNNNNNNNNNNNNUGAUGAAAUGGUAUUUUCUGUCGAUAUGUUGAGAUCUGCCAUGAUAUCUUGGUUCCUUGGUCAAGGCAACCGCUCCUUCAUUAUCACAGAAAAUUUCCAUCGGCUCCUUUAUGGAUGGCACAACUCCAAGGUCUCCAAUGAAGUUUUUCAACCAUAUAGCCUCCUUUGAUGCUUCACUUGCCGCAAUAUAUUCUGAUUCGCACGUUGAAUCAGCUACGGUCUCUUGCUUGGAACUCUUCCAGGUCACUGCUCCUCCAUUUAGGGUA